GGGGGUGAAAAGGGCUCGAUUUAAGCAAGCGCGGUAAGUGUUGCGUGUCGAGGUUGCAGGGAGGCCUCGUUAAUCACCUUGCACAAUAUAAAAGCAAACUACAACGUAGUUGCUGAAGCCGAGUCAAUCUUGGCUGAAGAAGUCCUCGUCUAAUUUAUUAGAUGAGGCCUUCGGUUGAUCUGCCUGGAGAUUAAUCGAUGCAUUAAACAGGAUAGUCUUGCUGAUUUUGUCUUUGUAGGCGGGGCGAAAUUUAAAAGGCUGGUUCAUUUUUGAUCCUGUCUGUUGGAGCAAAAUGAACGAGACUUAAUUAACAGAAUACACUCGUAGAUACACUUAUUGUGAUGCUUAAGGACGCGGGUUCGACUCCCGCCACCUCCACCA
rnacentral:tmRNA from 1 species